GCCGGAGUGGCGGAACUGGUAGACGCAGCGGACUUAAAAUCCGCUGGGGAAUAAUCCCCGUGCCGGUUCGAGUCCGGCCUCCGGCA
rnacentral:tRNA from 1 species